rnacentral:rRNA from 1 species
UGGGGGAUAUUGCACAAUGGGGGAACCCGUGAUGCAGCGAUGCCGCGUGGAGGAAGAAGGUUUUCGGAUUGUAAACUCCUGUCGUAAGGGAAGAGGAAGGACUGUACCUUACAAGAAAGCACCGGCUAACUACGUGCCAGCAGCCGCGGUAAAACGUAGGGUGCAAGCGUUGUCCGGAAUUACUGGGUGUAAAGGGAGCGCAGGCGGACCGGCAAGUUGGAAGUGAAAACCAUGGGCUCAACCCAUAAAUUGCUUUCAAAAACUGCUGGCCUUGAGUAGUGCAGAGGUAGGUGGAAAUUCCCGGUGUAGCGGUGGAAUGCGUAGAUAUCGGGAGGAACACCAGUGGCGAAAGGCGACCUACUGGGCACCAACUGACGCUGAGGCUCGAAAGCAUGGGUAGC